CGUGUAGGCGGUUGGAAAAGUCAGGUGUGAAAUUCUUCGGCUCAACCGGGGGACUGCGCCUGAAACUUUCCGACUGGAGUUCGGGAGGGGCAUCUGGAAUUCCUGGUGUAACGGUGAAAUGUGUAGAUAUCAGGAGGAACACCCGUGGCGAAGGCGGGUUGCUGGACCGAAACUGACGCUGAGACGCGAAAGCGUGGGUAGCAAACA
rnacentral:rRNA from 1 species